rnacentral:rRNA from 1 species
UACGGGGGGAGCAAGCGUUGUUCGGAUUUACUGGGCGUAAAGGGCGCGUAGGCGGCCAGCGCAAGUCAGUUGUGAAAUCUCCGGGCUUAACUCGGAACGGUCAACUGAUACUGCGCGGCUAGAGUGCAGGAGGGGCAACUGGAAUUCUCGGUGUAGCGGUGAAAUGCGUAGAUAUCGAGAGGAACACCUGCGGCGAAGGCGGGUUGCUGGGCUGACACUGACGCUGAUGCGCGAAAGCCAGGGGAGCGAGCGGG